rnacentral:rRNA from 1 species
GACGAACGCUGGCGGCGUGCUUAACACAUGCAAGUCGAACGGUAAGGCUCCAGCUUGCUGGGGUACACGAGUGGCGAACGGGUGAGUAACACGUGGGUGACCUGCCCUGCACUUCGGGAUAAGCCUGGGAAACUGGGUCUAAUACCGGAUAGGACCAUGGUGUGGAUACUGUGGUGGAAAGUUUUUUCGGUGUGGGAUGGGCCCGCGGCCUAUCAGCUUGUUGGUGGGGUAAUGGCCUACCAAGGCGGCGACGGGUAGCCGGCCUGAGAGGGUGGACGGCCACAUUGGGACUGAGACACGGCCCAGACUCCUACGGGAGGCAGCAGUGGGGAAUAUUGCACAAUGGGCGGAAGCCUGAUGCAGCGACGCCGCGUGGGGGAUGACGGCCUUCGGGUUGUAAACUCCUUUCACCAUAGACGAAGGGUUUCUGACGGUAGAUGGAGAAGAAGCACCGGCUAACUACGUG